AGUGGCGACCGGGUGAGUAAACGUGACUAACCUACCCUCGAGUGUGGAAUAACAUCGGGAAACCGAUGCUAAUACCGCAUAACAUCGCAAGAUCAAAGGAGCAAUCCGCUUGAGGAGGGGGUCGCGGCUGAUUAGCUAGUUGGCGGGGUAACGGCCCACCAAGGCGAAGAUCGGUAGCCGGCCUGAGAGGGCGCACGGCCACACUGGAACUGAAACACGGUCCAGACUCCUACGGGAGGCAGCAGUGGGGAAUUUUGCGCAAUGGGGGAAACCCUGACGCAGCAACGCCGCGUGGAGGAUGAAGCCCCUUGGGGCGUAAACUCCUUUCGACCAAGACGAUGAUGACGGUACUGGUGGAAGAAGCACCGGCUAACUCUGUGCCAGCAGCCGCGGUAAUACAGAGGGUGCAAGCGUUGUUCGGAAUUAUUGGGCGUAAAGGGCGCGUAGGCGGCGCGACAAGUCACCUGUGAAAUCCCCGGGCUUAACUCGGGGCCUGCAGGCGA
rnacentral:rRNA from 1 species